rnacentral:rRNA from 1 species
CACACCGCCCGUCACACCAUGGGAGUCAGUUGCUCUAGAAGUCGGUGCGCCAACUUCGGAGGUAGCCGCCUAAAGAGUGAACUGGUGACUGGGGUG